UACAGAGGGUGCAAGCGUUGUUCGGAAUUAUUGGGCGUAAAGGGCGCGUAGGCGGUUCGGCAAGUCUCUAGUGAAAUCUCAGGGCUCAACUCUGAGUCUGCUGGGGAAACUGCCGGGCUUGAGUGUGGGAGAGGAGAGUGGAAUUCCCGGUGUAGUGGUGAAAUGCGUAGAUAUCGGGAGGAACACCAGUGGCGAAGGCGACUACCUGGCCUGUUCUUGACGCUGAGGCGCGAAAGCUAGGGGAGCAAACGGG
rnacentral:rRNA from 1 species